rnacentral:rRNA from 1 species
UAGUCAUAUGCUUGUCUCAAAGAUUAAGCCAUGCAUGUCUAAGUAUAAACAUCUUUAUACAGUGAAACUGCGUACAGCUCAUUAUAUCAGUAAUUAUUUAUUUGAUGGUACCUUACUACAUGGAUAACCGUAGUAAUUCUAGAGCUAAUACAUGCGUAUAAGUCUCAACUCAAGUCGGGAAGAGAUGUAUUUAUUAGAUAAAAAAUCAAUGCAAACAGCAGUAAUGUUGUUUGGUUAGUUGGUGAUUCAUAGUAACUGUUCGAAUCGUAUGGCUUUAU